CAUGUUUUUGAUGAUGACAAGACCACCAACUAUGGACAAUGCAGCAAGAUCAAAAAGAAGAUCAAACCAUCUUGAAUAAGCUUCCAAAUCCAAAUAAUAAAUGAGUAAAUGUAAAGGUAUAUGAUACAAAUCAAUAGUUCAAAUACUUGAGAACAAUUCAUAUUUACAUAUGCAUUUAACAUGUUUUCGAAAAUCAAAAACAACAUUAACA
rnacentral:lncRNA from 1 species